AUGCCAGAUAGCUCAGUUGGUUAGAGUGUGGUGCUCAUAGCUGUCAACCGUCCCUUAUUUGGUGGGAAAGUCCUUUAUCCCAGCGCUGUGUCCCGCUGCUGUCCCUUAUUGAUGAUGUCCCUUAAAUUUCCCUCCCUCAAAGGAAGCAGCUCCUCUCCCUCCCUCCCUGCCGGCCAGGGAGGAAGGAGGCUCCAACUGUGUUGCUUGGCUGCGUUGCUCACCCAAUAAGAAGUCUAAGAAUGACUGGGGGGUGGAGCUUGCAUGCCUUGUACCUAUCAAAUCGGCCGCAUUGCCUGGGGACUCACCUUUGCUCAGCGCUUCCCAGCGGAGAGGUGACAGUGGUUUUCCUUGCUGCAUCCCCUUUGCUGGGUUGCUGCGCUGUGGGAACCACUGCUUGAGGCUUCAUUUGGCUGCUGGCUGGGCUUUCUGCCUUUGGCUUGGAGGGGCUCAGAAGUCGAACAUACCUGUGCUCUGAAAAUCCCUUAUUUUGGCUGCUGAUCCCUUAUUUCUGAGACUGCUGGUCCCUUAUUUUCAAAUCUGUAAGUUGACAGCUAUGGUGGUGCUCGUAACGCCAAGGUUGCAGGUUCGAUCCCAGCUGCAUA